ACAUAUCGUCGCCCCGGCGGAGGCCGGGGCCGCCAGAGGCUCUUGCUGCGACGUAUUCGCGUACAACGUGCCGGCCCCGGUCUCCGCCGGGGCGACGCAUAUU
rnacentral:pre_miRNA from 1 species